GCCACCAACCACUAAGAUUCCGGGACGUGGCGGCGCCACCCCUUCACCUGCACCGAAAAGAACUCAAAUUACCUGAACACCCUUCACAAAGUCACAAAUGCAAAACCCAAUUUGGGCGAGUAACCCACUCGAGUCGCCCUUUUUGGGUCAUCCUUGCUCGAAACUCGUCAUUCAGUCUACCAGGAGGCUUACCAGAAGAAGAAGAAAGGGAGGAGAGAGAGGGAGAGAGUGGGCGGUCAGGGCAAUGCCUUGUUCUUCUAAAAAUACGUCGUCUUCUUCUAGAGAUGACAAUGGUGCCCUUCGUGCUUUCAAGCUGAGUGAGUCCACGUUUUUGGCUUCUCUUAUUCCUAAGAAGGGGAUUGCUGCUGAUCGAUUCGUCGAGGCGGAUUCUAAGUACGAUGCCCGUGAGGUUGUUGUCGCUAUUUUUGGUAAUUUGAAAAUUUCUAUGGGGGUUUUUGGGUCUGUUUGGGUGAUGAGAAAGUGAUGGGAAAUGGGAAAAAAUUUCUGGGUUUAUUUAUUGGUUUAUGAGAAGUGGGCAAAGGACACUAAGUGGGAUAUGGGUGUUAGUCAUUUUUUCUUUUUGGGGGUCUGUUUCUGUUUGGGUCCUGAGAAAGUGGUGGAAAAUGAAAGAUAACUUUUUUUUUUUUUUGGGGUUUUAUGUUGUUUUGGUUAAGAUAUCAGACGUGAACCUUCAGCUUUUUCCAUGGUGUCUUGAAAGUGUUGUUCAUGCUAAAACUUAGGAGUCGAAUGUUGGAAAUGCUUAUCUCUUGAGCUGUGCUGGGUUGUAUUUCUGAUCUUAGAGUGUUGUUUUUACCCAGAUUCUGGUGUGUUACAAGUUACCUCAGCCUUGGCAGUGGAGAUAUUGAUACCUCAACUGUGGUGAAGGCCGAUUCAAACGGUUGUCUUGGUGGAGCAUCAGGGGCAUCUCUGGUUGUAAAUUCUUCAUGGAAGAGUGGCAUGUGGGUUAUAAAGUCGUAUACGAGCUUUGUACAGACACGUUGACUUCUGGUUUGAAGAAAGAAGGAAAAAGUGGAACAAAAAGCAUAGGAAGCAAUAGCUGAGGCUGUAAAGCAUCUUGAUGAAUUUGGCCAGAAACACAUUAAGAAGGGCUUGUGAAGACCUCCAAAACAGGGUUGACUUACUCCAGAAAUAGGUGGAAAGCUAUGAUGACAAGGGACCUAUUAUAGAUGCUGUUGUUUGGAAUGGAGAACCAUGGACGGCCACUCUUGAUAGGCAGAGUCUUGAGGAUGACCCAGGGUGUGGGAAAUUUGCUGAUUUUGUAACCGAAACUAAUUAUAGGAUUGAAAGAAAGUUUGGCAUGUUUGGCAAACCAGAUGCUUGCACAUGUGUCGUUAAUGUAUAUGAUCAAGGCAGUAUCUUGAGUAUAGUGACAGAUAGCUCCCCCCAUCACCAUUCGAAAAUAACAUGCUGUCUUCCUGCAUUUCCUUUACAGUAAACAAAUUUACCUUUUGAAAUAUGCCAUUGUUGUACAGGAGCCAAUGUUGAAUGAAGUUGCACCUGGAGCACAGACAAUAUCUUGUAAAAUUGGAGACUCGUUGCCUAGAUUCAACAGAAACAGGAACAGGCUUGACCAGAUCAUUAAUAGCUGCUGUCGAGCAUAAGUGUGAUCUCGUCAACAUGAGUUAUGGAGAACCUACAAUGAUGCUUGAAUAUGGAUGAUUUGUUGACCUUGUUAAUGAAGCAUGAAUUUCAAAACUUGAUAUUUGAUUGUUGGCAUGACAAUUAAUUUACAAAUUCUUCUCUUAUUAAUCUUUUACACUCUCUCCAUUAAGCAUUGACCGCUGUGGGCUCACCUGGUGGUACCACUUCACUUAUUGUUGGUGUCGGUGCGUAUGUACUUUCUCCUGCUAUGGCUGCUGGAGCUCGUUGUGUAGUUGAACCUCCAUCUGAAGGCCUCGAGUAUUCAUGGUAUACAAUCUUCCCUUAAGAAAGUUUUUGUGUUUCAGCAAGUUGCUGGCAGUAAAUUAUUCAUUUGAAUCUUAAAGCAUAGCUGAACGAAAUGGGGUGCAGGUCUAGCCAUGAACCAACAGUUGAUGGUGAUCUUUGGGUGUGCAUAAGCCCUCCACGAAAAUUUGAUUUUGCAAGUGCAUUAUGCAUUACCAUAUGAUAUCUUUGUGCUUAUGAAAGUAAUAUUUAGAUGUGAAUGCCAUUUAGAAGCUGCACUUAGCAUACUGAUUAUGUAGUUAUGCAGAUGGUCCUCAUUGUUUGAGGAAACAGGUUUUUCUUGUUGCUUAUUAGUAUUGAGCCCCAUAAAGACUAAAGAGAAAAGUUCAUGAGAAUAAAAUAAUUUAUAUGAUGUUGGCAUGAGUA